CGCGGCGGGGCGGGACGCGGCGGAGGGGUCAGCGCGGCGCGGCGCGAAGCUGCGGGCGGCCAUGGGGAAGCUGCUGGCGGUGGCUCUCGCCGGGAUAGCGGCGGCCUUGGCGGUGGAGCGGCUGCUGGCCUUUCGGAACAGGCUCAAUGCUUCACGGGAAAUAGCCCCAGUAACCCUCCCGAACUGCCGGCUCAUUAAAGGGAUUGAAAGUGGUUCUGAAGACAUUGACAUACUUCCCAAUGGACUGGCUUUCAUCAGCUCUGGCUUGAAAUACCCAGGAAUAAAGAGCUUUGCACCAGACAAGCCAGGUGAAAUAUUUUUGAUGGAUUUGAAUGAAGACAAUCCCAGAGCAGUGGAACUGAGAAUCAGCCGAGGGUUUGAUCUGGCAUCCUUUAACCCUCAUGGAAUCAGCACCUACGUAGACAAAGAUGACACCGUGUACCUCUUUGUUGUGAACCAUCCCCAUCAGAAGAGCACAAUAGAGUUGUUUAAAUAUGUGGAAGAUGACAAUUCUCUUGUGCACCUGAAAACCAUUCGACAUGACCUUCUGACAAGCGUGAAUGAUGUGGUAGCUGUGGGACCAGACAGCUUCUAUGCUACCAAUGACCACUAUUUCUCCGACUUCGUCUUGAUGUUCUUGGAGAUGUUCUUGGGUUUAACUUGGUCAAAUGUUGUUUACUACAGUCCUAAAGAAGUGAAAGAAGUAGCAGCUGGGUUUUAUUCAGCCAAUGGAAUUAACAUUUCACCUGACAGAAAGUUCAUCUACAUUGCAGAUAUAUUUGAUCAUAAUGUCCAUGUUAUGGAAAAACAUGCAAAUUGGAGUUUAACCUAUGUGAAGAAGCUGCAGCUGGACACUCUGGUCGAUAAUUUGUCUGUUGACCCAUCCACUGGAGACAUCUGGACAGGAUGUCAUCCCAAUGGGAUGAAGCUCCUCUACUACGAUCCUGAAAAUCUGCCUGCUUCUGAGGUCCUGCGCAUCCAGAACAUCCUCUCAGAAGAGCCUGUGGUGACACGCGUCUAUGCCGACAAUGGCUCCGUGCUGCAGGGAAGCUCCGUGGCAUCCGUCUACGAGGGAAAACUGCUCAUCGGCACAGUCUUCCACAGAGCUCUCUACUGUGAGCUAUAGCUUGCUGCGGACAUUUUCAGCUUCCCUGAGAAGUGAUGCGCUUUCCUACAGGAAUUUGUAAUCCGUGUUCAGCCUCGAGGAGCAGAUCUUAUUCCUAGAGCCCAAGCAGAAAAGCUGCCCUGAAGGAAGCUCUCACAAUAAGGAGAGAAUGGGCUAUUAACUUGUUUGUGAUUAGCCAUCUUAUACUAGCCUUUUAGAAUAACCAUUAGGCUGUUGCCACUGUUUGUUCUCAAAUCAAGUGCCACCUGCUAAAGAACUGGAGUUUUGCAGCAGUGGCAGUAACAGCUGAAAUACCAGCCGGUUGCUCUGCCGGUCCUGGGUUUACUCUAUGGUUGUGGAAUCAUAACAACCAGCAUUUCCCUCAGCAGUGGUAGAAGUAACCCAUCAAAACAUUAAUUUCACAUUUUCCAGUAGCUUCAAACAUCUUCAGGAGAGCAAAUCUACACGUUGUUGGAUCUUUCAACCUUCUACUUUUUUGUUGGGUUUUGGCCUUUCAGAAAAUCAUGUUUUCACUUGUCACUGGAUUUUGAUUUUUCCCCUCUUUUUUAAACCGUUCCUGUAGUGGAGGUUUUCCCAGCAGUCUGCCUGCAGACAGAAACAUAUGCAAGCGAUUGGCCUUUUCUUUUCCUAAAGCAUUUGAGAAGAGAGAGAUCAUAGGCAAGUAGCUUGGAAGCCUGUUGUCAACCUUUAAGGGUGUCCCAGCCUCGCAGUGCAGAACUGGGAGUUGAAGCUGAGCCAGCAUGCAUGAAAAUGGUACUGGGCAGGACACAGACAGCAAGCAUGCAUUCUGCAGCAAAAUCAGUGCUGGGCAGAGCUUCUACCCCUGAGCAUGAAAUCACCACUUGAUGAAACUCACCAUCAAUCAGUCUCAGUGUGGAAACAGCAAUGGAGGAAGAUGCGCCUCAAGCCUGGCCUCACAAUGACAAGGUGACCUGCACAGGGCAAAUGUGGGUUUGCAGCCUGGAGGAAAGCAUAACCCAUCAUCUUUUACGAACUGUAGAGCCUGGAGCAGUUCUGGCCAUUUCAGACACCAAACUGCAGGAAUCUGAGACCACUUUGCACAAACAACGGGGACAUAUGUAUAGACAGCUCCAGGCUUAGGAAGCUGCUGAGCAGACACAUUUUACAAGCCAGUCAUGAACUUAACAGCCCUUAACAUACCUAUUUUAAUUAAGAUAAUAAUUAAGGUGGUACCCAUAUUAGCAGAAUGUAAGCUUUAUGGCUCCGCUGCUGGGAAGCACAGACUGGGUUAGAGAGAUUAAGUGCAGACGAGUAUUUGGCCUAGAUUCUGCCAGAUGCAAAUCCACUGAAAUGACUACACAAAUUGGACAAUCUGUGCCCUCUGCUUUCUCCAAGUUAAUGCUUUAAUAAAAUAAAAUAAGCAAAGACAUAUUAAACAUG